GCCAGGAUAGGGCGAUCCUGGAAGCUGGGCUUCGGAAGCGUGCAGAUAGGGUCUCUCUCUCUGCCACUCAGGCCAGAGUGCAGUUGACGCAGAGCAGGGGAGCCCUGAAAUGGAGCAUAGUGUGUCCGGAACUGGUGGGUUCUUGGUCUCACUGACUUCAAGAAUGAAGCUGCGGACCCUCGGGAUGAGUGUCACAGUUCUUAAAGGUGGCUUGUCUGGAGUUUGUUCCUUCUGAUGCUCUGAUGUGUUCAGAGUUUCUUCUUUCUGGUGGGUUUGUGGUCUCACUGGCUUCAGGAGUGAAGCUGCAGACCUUCAAGGUGAGUGUUACAGCUCUUAA
rnacentral:lncRNA from 1 species